CGUUGUUUAUCUUGAUAUGAGAUCCCCAUGUCGUAUACAUAUGGUUGUGAUGCAUGUACUUAGUGUACCCUUGUCAGACGGGCAGUCAUUAUGGGUAUAUUGGGCUUAGUAUAUUUGUACCCCAAGAAUCACUUUGAUGGCAUGCACUACUCUCUUACUCAAUAAUGAUAAUAAAGA